rnacentral:rRNA from 1 species
UGCCAGACUCCUACGGGAGGCAGCAGUGAGGAAUAUUGGUCAAUGGGCGGGAGCCUGAACCAGCCAAGUCGCGUGAGGGAAGACGGUCCUAUGGAUUGUAAACCUCUUUUGUCGGGGAGCAAAGAGGCCACGUGUGGUCAAAAGCGAGAGUACCCGAAGAAAAAGCAUCGGCUAACUCCGUGCCAGCAGCCGCGGUAAUACGGAGGAUGCGAGCGUUAUCCGGAUUUAUUGGGUUUAAAGGGUGCGUAGGCGGGAUGCCAAGUCAGCGGUAAAAAUGCGGUGCUCAACGCCGUCGAGCCGUUGAAACUGGCGUUCUUGAGUGGGCGAGAAGUAUGCGGAAUGCGUGGUGUAGCGGUGAAAUGCAUAGAUAUCACGCAGAACUCCGAUUGCGAAGGCAGCAUACCGGCGCCCUACUGACGCUGAGGCACGAAAGCGUGGGUAUCGAACAGGAUUAGAUACCCCAGUA